CUGGGUCACCGAGCGCUUCGGCGCUCAUCCCCCACCCUUCUGUCUACCGAUUAGCUUCGGCUCGAGGCUGACCCCCGAUCGCUCGGGGGUCCGCCGGCCGAAAAUUCAACCCUGAACAACAUUGCAGCCUGAAGUAAACAAGCAAAUAGUUA
rnacentral:misc_RNA from 1 species